rnacentral:lncRNA from 1 species
AGAAUCUUGUAGCCUCCAGCUGCGUAACGCCUAAACCAUAAUUUCUAUUCUUUUGGCUAAUUUGUUAAUCCUACAAAGGCAGUCUAGUCCCCAGGCAAGAAAGGGGUUUGUUGGGAAAGGGCUGUUAUCAUCUUGGUUUUAAACUAUAAACUAUAAACUAAGUUCCUCCUAAAGUUAGUUCCACCUACACCCAGGAAUGAACAAGGACAGCUUGGAGGUUAGAAGCAAGAUGGAGGUGGUCAGGUCAGAUCUCUUUCAGUGUCUCAGUUAUAAUUUUGCAAUGGUGAUUUCAAGAACAGUCACCCUGAAGUUCAGGACACACAAGAAAGCACUCCCGAUUUGGCCUCUGCUCCCAGCUAGGAUUUAGGUCACAAGAGACUUCAGUCUUGUGGUAACAAGAAGAAAACAAAUAAAAUAAGAAACAGCGUGCUUCUUAUGAAGCUAGCAAAAAGUGGUAGCAACAAGGAACCCGGAAGAAGUAAAUUCCGGAGCAUUCUGAGGUUGUUGUAGGUGAAUGGGAAGCUGAGGCAGCUUCCAUACGGGGAGGUGAUGCCUCAUCUGGGUGAGAGCAGUUCUGCCGAGGAUGGAGAGACUUUUAGGGGAAAUCAGUCAGAUCUUGAAAAACAGGGCUAUGGGGCAGACUGGAGUCUGGACGAGCCUCAAACACAAGAACAGAUCACUUGGCCCAGAAAUAUCCUGCUCUGGUUUUGCUAAGAAAACAGCAAUAGGGCAAAGGAUGAUAACUAGAAAGAAACUGUGUAAUCCGAAACAUUCUUGCAGUGAUUGGAUCCUGGGGCUCUGCCAGCAUUGAAUCCAAAGGUGAACCAAAAAUAGCUGAAAUUGAAGACAAUCAGCUCCCUGUCUAUAAGAUCAAAAGGCAGUGGCUCAGGAGACUGGGGACUGGGCUCCCCAUAGAGAAUGCCCCUGAUUAAAGCUGCAGCCCAGUCAAACUCAUCUUGUUCUAGAAGGAAUCUGAAAGAUCCAUCCCUGCACCAGAUGGAGGGAAAGGCUUACCAUCAACUAUGAUUGUUUGUGAAAUAACAUCAUCCCACACAUCCAAGAAACUCAACGAACCCCAAGUAUGAUCAAUGAAAAGAGAUCCACAUGGUGAAAUAAAGACACUUCUGAAGAAAUUGCAGCUGAGAGAUUUCAUAGCCUAUAGACUCACCAGACAAGAGAUGCUACAGGGAGCUCAUUAGCUGAAGAGAAAUGAUACAGAUGAAAACAGGAAGGUAUAAAGAGAGCCAGAAAUACAAAUUUAUGGGUAAAUAUAAAAGACAAUUUUUAUCUCUUGUCUUCAUUUCUUUAAAAGGCAAAAAAAUAAUAUGGAGUUUAUUAUAACAAAUGUGAAGCAAAAUCUAUGACACGGAUAGAUCAAAGACAACAGAGGAAUAAUUAUACUAAUGUAAUGUUCUUGUAUUAUACAGAAGUGGUUUAAUAUUAAUUCAAUGUACACUGUGAUAAAUUAAGGAUACAUGUUUUAUUGACUGCCUGAAGCAACCACUUAAAAAAAAUCAAAUAAAUGGAAACAAAGAUGUAUAUCUGAAAAACCAACAGAGGAGAUAAGAUAAAAUACCACAACAUACCUGAUUAAUUCUCAACAAGACAGAAAAACAGAAGCCACAAACAAAUAACAGAUAGGAUAAAUCGAAAACAAAUAGCAAAAUGAUGAACUGAAACCUCAACCAUAUCAAUACGUACGUUAAAUGUAAACAGGGUAACCACUCCAUUUCGAAGACAACAACCGUUAAGAUGACAGCAAGAACGAGAGGAGAAAACAAAAAACAUGGUUGAACUGAAUAAAAAACAAGCCCCAACUACAUACUGUUUACAAUAAAUGUACUUUAAAUAUAAAGAUACAGAUACAAAGAUAAAAAGUAAAAGGAUUAAGAAGAACAUGCAAACACUAAUCACAAGAAAGCUGGCGUAACCAUAUUAAUAUCAAUAGACUUUGAGGCAAGAGGCAUUACCAAAGAUAAAGAGACAUAGUUCUUAAUGAUAAUCGAGUUAAUUUAUCAAGAAGAUAACAACCCUAAAUGUGUCUGUAUCUAAUGACAGUUUGAAAAUACAUGAAACAAAAAUUGACAGAACUAAAUGGAGAAAUAGAUGAAUCUGCAAUCAUUGUCACAUUGUCUCCAAAGAUGGCCAUCAACAAUGUCACCAUCAUCCAACCACGUACUACACCUCCC